rnacentral:rRNA from 1 species
AUACCCUUUUCUACGGAAUAGCUCUGGGAAACUGGAAUUAAUACCGUAUACGCCCUACGGGGGAAAGAUUUAUCGGGGAAGGAUUGGCCCGCGUUGGAUUAGCUAGUUGGUGGGGUAAAGGCCUACCAAGGCGACGAUCCAUAGCUGGUCUGAGAGGAUGAUCAGCCACAUUGGGACUGAGACACGGCCCAAACUCCUACGGGAGGCAGCAGUGGGGAAUAUUGGACAAUGGGCGCAAGCCUGAUCCAGCCAUGCCGCGUGAGUGAUGAAGGCCUUAGGGUUGUAAAGCUCUUUCACCGAUGAAGAUAAUGACGGUAGUCGGAGAAGAAGCCCCGGCUAACUUCGUGCCAGCAGCCGCGGUAAUACGAAGGGGGCUGGCGUUGUUCGGAAUUACUGGGCGUAAAGCGCACGUAGGCGGAUAUUUAAGUCAGGGGUGAAAUCCCAGAGCUCAACUCUGGAACUGCCUUUGAUACUGGGUAUCUUGAGUAUGGAAGAGGUAAGUGGAAUUGCGAGU